GAUGAACGCUAGCGGGAGGCUUAACACAUGCAAGUCGAGGGGCAGCAUAGGGUAGCAAUACUCUGAUGGCGACCGGCAAACGGGUGAGUAACGCGUAUGCAACCUACCCUGUACAGGGGGAUAACCCGGAGAAAUUCGGACUAAUAUCCCGUAAUAAUAUCCGGAGGCAUCUUUGGAUAUUUAAAGUUCCGACGGUACGGGAUGGGCAUGCGUAACAUUAGCUGGUUGGUAAGGUAACGGCUUACCAAGGCUAUGAUGUUUAGGGGUCCUGAGAGGGUGGUCCCCCACACUGGUACUGAGACACGGACCAGACUCCUACGGGAGGCAGCAGUGAGGAAUAUUGGUCAAUGGGCGCAAGCCUGAACCAGCCAUCCCGCGUGCAGGAAGACGGCCCUAUGGGUUGUAAACUGCUUUUCCAGGGAGAGAAACUUACGCACGUGUUGCGUGACUGACGGUACCCUGGGAAUAAGCAUCGGCUAACUCCGUGCCAGCAGCCGCGGUAAAAGU
rnacentral:rRNA from 1 species